rnacentral:rRNA from 1 species
CGCGAAUUCGCCCUUCGGGGUGCCCAGGCGCGAAAACUUUGCAAUACACGAAAGUGUGACAGGGUCAUCCCGAGUGCCGACCGCUGAGGUUGGCUUUUACCCAGUCUAGAAAGCUGGGGGAAUAAGGAGAGGGCAAGUCUGGUGUCAGCCGCCGCGGUAAUACCAGCUCUCCGAGUGGUGUGGACGUUUAUUGGGCCUAAAGCAUCCGUAGCUGGCUGAACAAGUCCCCUGUUAAACCCACCGAUUUAAUCGUUGGUCUGCGGGGGAUACUGCUCGGCUAGGGGACGAGAGAGGCAGACGGUAUUCCCGGGGUAGGGGUGAAAUCCUAUAAUCCCGAGAAGACCACCAGUGGCGAAGGCUGUCUGCUAGAACGCGCCCGACGGUGAGGGAUGAAAGCUGGGGGAGCGAACCGGAUUAGAUACCCGGGUAGUCCCAGCUGUAAACGAUGCAGACUAGGUGUUUGGACGGCCACGUGCCGUUCUAGUGCCGCAGGGAAGCUGUUAAGUCUGCCGCCUGGGGAGUACGAUCGCAAGAUUGAAACUUAAAGGAAUUGGCGGGGGAGCAC